AGCGGCUGGUUAGAGUAUUGACUGCAGGUUUCUCAUUUGGGAUGUGCUGUGCUUUGUUGGAAUUUUCUGCUAAUUGUCGAGGCAUACCUCAACCUUAAUCGAUGCAUCUGGAUGAUUAGGUGGGGUGGCCAGUCGUCUCAUUGACCCUCAGUAUAUGGAGAAGAAUGCAGUGACGACUCCAAGCCCCUACUCAUUCAUGAGCUGACACUGAGGGCCCAGGAGAACCGGCCUUUCUAGGAGGGCUGGAUGCGGUAAUGAGGACCAGAUUCUCGCUCCCUCUUCCACUUCCCCUGUAACAGUGGCCAGUCAGAACAAGUCAAGGUUAACAGUGCCAUCUACAGUAGAGAGGCAGCCUCUCUAGCCAUUAUCCAACACUGUAUUACAUGAAAUGAGGGGUUGAGAGAGCCUUACAGUACUCAGUUAUGAUGACCCAUCUCUAAAAGCAAGAGUGUGUUAUUACAGUAUUAUUAAAGUGUUAGCUAUGGUGUUUUCUACAACUUAGAAAACUAACUCUUCAGAUGGGGGUUGCAUUUCUAUAAUUGUGAUAUCCUUUUCAGAGCCACACAAAUUCAAUGCAUUAUUUUGAAAUCAGGUCUCAGAUGUAAAAAAAAAAAAA